CCUACGGAGUGCAGCAGUCGAGAAUCAUUCACAAUGGGGGAAACCCUGAUGGUGCGACGCCGCGUGGGGGAAUGAAGGUCUUCGGAUUGUAAACCCCUGUCAUGUGGGAGCAAAUUAAAAAGAUAGUACCACAAGAGGAAGAGACGGCUAACUCUGUGCCAGCAGCCGCGGUAAUACAGAGGUCUCAAGCGUUGUUCGGAAUCACUGGGCGUAAAGCGUGCGUAGGCUGUUUCGUAAGUCGUGUGUGAAAGGCGCGGGCUCAACCCGCGGACGGCCCAUGAUACUGCGAGACUAGAGUAACGGAGGGGGAACCGGAAUUCUCGGUGUAGCAGUGAAAUGCGUAGAUAUCGAGAGGAACACUCGUGGCGAAGGCGGGUUCCUGGACAUUAACUGACGCUGAGGCACGAAGGCCAGGGGAGCGAAAGGGAUUAGAUACCCCGGUAGUC
rnacentral:rRNA from 1 species